rnacentral:rRNA from 1 species
AGUACCCCGAGGAAAAGAAAUCAACCGAGAUUCCCCCAGUAGCGGCGAGCGAACGGGGAGCAGCCCAGAGUCUGAAUCAGCUUGUGUGUUAGUGGAAGCGUCUGGAAAGUCGCACGGUACAGGGUGAAAGUCCCGUACACGAAAAUGCACAGGCUGUGAACUCGAAGAGUAGGGCGGGACACGUGGUAUCCUGUCUGAAUAUGGGGGGACCAUCCUCCAAGGCUAAAUACUCCUGACUGACCGAUAGUGAACCAGUACCGUGAGGGAAAGGCGA